rnacentral:rRNA from 1 species
GACGAACGCUGGCGGCGCGCCUAACACAUGCAAGUCGAGCGGAGGUACAAUGAGAGCAAUCGAGAUGUACUUUAGCGGCGGACGGGUGAGUAACGCGUGAGCAACCUGCCUAUCACAGGGGGAUAAGGCGGCGAAAGCCGCUCUAAUACCGCAUGAGACCCUCAAAGCGAUGCAAUGGGGGUGAAAGGAGCGAUCCGGUGAGAGAUGGGCUCGCGUCCGAUUAGGUAGUUGGUAGGGUAAGGGCCUACCAAGCCAAUGAUCGGUAGCCGGCCUGAGAGGGUGAACGGCCACAUUGGAACUGAGAGACGGUCCAAACUCCUACGGGAGGCAGCAGUGGGGAAUAUUGGGCAAUGGGCGGAAGCCUGACCCAGCAACGCCGCGUGAGGGAAGAAGGUUUUCGGAUUGUAAACCUCUGUUCUUGGGGAAGAGGAAGAGACGGUACCCAAGGAGGAAGCCCCGGCUAACUACGUG